UACGAGGGAGCUAGCGUUAAUCGGAAUUACUGGGCGUAAAGCGUGCGCAGGCGGUUCGGAAAGAAAGAUGUGAAAUCCCAGGGCUUAACCUUGGAACUGCAUUUUUAACUGCCGGGCUAGAGUAUGUCAGAGGGGGGUAGAAUUCCGACGUGUAGCAGUGAAAUGACGUAGAGAUGUGGAGGAAUACCGAAUGGCGAAGGC
rnacentral:rRNA from 1 species